rnacentral:rRNA from 1 species
AGCAGCCGCGGUAAUUCCAGCUCCAAUAGCGUAUAUUAAAGUUGUUGCAGUUAAAAAGCUCGUAGUUGAAUUUCGAGACCGGCUUACUGGUCGUGCUAUUGUACGUACUGGUAUAAUCGGUUUCUCCUUUCUGACGAACUAUAAUGCCAUUAAUUUGGUGUUUUAGGGAAUCAGGACUGUUACUUUGAAAAAAUUAGAGUGUUUAAAGCAGGCUCACGCUUGAAUACAUUAGCAUGGAAUAACGGAAUAGGACGUUUGAUUCUAUUUUGUUGGUUUCUAGGAUCGACGUAAUGAUUAAUAGGGAUAGUUGGGGGCAUUAGUAUUCAAUUGUCAGAGGUGAAAUUCUUGGAUUUAUUGAAGACUAACUACUGCGAAAGCAUUUGCCAAGGAUGUUUUCAUUAAUCAAGAACGAAAGUUAGGGGAUCGAAGACGAUCAGAUACCGUCGUAGUC